UACAGAGGUCUCAAGCGUUGUUCGGAUUCAUUGGGCGUAAAGGGUGCGUAGGCGGCGCGGUAAGUCGGGUGUGAAAUCUCGGAGCUUAACUCCGAAACUGCCUUUGAUACUGGCGAUCUCGAGUCCGGGAGAGGUGAGUGGAACUGCGAGUGUAGAGGUGAAAUUCGUAGAUAUUCGCAAGAACACCAGUGGCGAAGGCGGCUCACUGGCCCGGUACUGACGCUGAGGUGCGAAAGCGUGGGGAGCAAACAGG
rnacentral:rRNA from 1 species